GAUGAACGCUGGCGGCGUGCCUAAUACAUGCAAGUCGAGCGAAGCGGGGACGGGUGAGUAACGCGUGGAUAACCUCCUAUAAGACUGGGUUAACUUCGGGAAACCGGAGCUAAACCGGAUACUUCGAGAUGGAUCCUCGCUGCAUUAGCUAGUUGGUAAGGUAACGGCUUACCAAGGCAACGAUGCAUCGCCGAUCUGAGAGGGUGAUCGGCCACACUGGAACUGAGACACGGUCCAGACUCCUACGGGAGGCAGCAGUAGGGAAUCUUCCGCAAUGGGCGAAAGCCUGACGGAGCAACGCCGCGUGAGUGAUGAAGGUCUUCGGAUCGUAAAACUCUGUUAUUAGGGAAGCGGUACCGAAUCAGAAAGCCACGGCUAACCACGUGCCAGCAGCCGCGGUAAUUC
rnacentral:rRNA from 1 species